GAUGAACGCUGGCGGCGUGCCUAACACAUGCAAGUCGAACGGAGUCCCGCCUUUAAGACCUUCGGGUCGAUGGGGGGAAGACUGAGAGUCGGACGGGUGUGAAACACGUGUGCGACCUGGCUCAUAUAGGGGGAUAACAGCUAGAAAUUUCUGCUAUUAUCACAUACGCACACACUUCCGCAUGGCAGAGGGUGAUGAGAGACACGCAAUGAUAUGGACCCCCGUCGGAUUAUCGAGAUGGCAGGGUAAGAGCCUACCACAGCGACGAUCAGAACACGAUGAGUGAGGAUGAGCGGCCACACCGGGACUGAGACACGGCACGAACUCCUACGGGAGGCAGCAGUGGGGGAUAUUGCACAGUGGGGGGAAUCCUGAUGGAGCGACGCCGCGAGAGUGCAGAAGUAUUUCGGUAUGUAAAGCUCUAUUAGCAGGGAAGAUAAUGACAGUACCUGAACAAGAAGCCCCGGCUAACUACGUG
rnacentral:rRNA from 1 species